CACCGUUCCUGGCCGCACGGCCUCUUGCCUUGGUUGUCAUGGUAACAGCGGACGCCGCGGCCAUGCCGUCGCCUUGGCAACAGAAAGCGGCGCCAGCCUCAGUAAGGUGGUCUGUGAAGGGGAGGCAGCGGUUGGUGGGCGGGGACUAGCGGUUACCCGGGUGAUGGCGGCUAGGGGCUUGUUAUUGACAGGGAGAUGGCGGCUGUGGGCGGGGUCGGAG